rnacentral:rRNA from 1 species
CGUGUAGGCGGCUCAGCAAGUCAGGUGUGAAAGCCCUCGGCUUAACCGAGGAAGUGCGCCUGAAACUACUGGACUUGAGUGCCGGAGAGGGUGGCGGAAUUCCCGGUGUAGAGGUGAAAUUCGUAGAUAUCGGGAGGAACACCAGCGGCGAAGGCGGCCACCUGGACGGCGACUGACGCUGAGACGCGAAAGCGUGGGGAGCAAACAGGAUUAGAUACCCUGGUAGUCCACGCUGUAAACGAUGAGCGCUAGGUGUUGUGGGUGUUGACCCCGCAGUGCCGCAGCUAACGCAUUAAGCGCUCCGCCUGGGAAGUACGGCCGCAAGGCUAAA